rfam:Triticum aestivum genome assembly, contig: Triticum_aestivum_CS42_TGACv1_scaffold_139508_2BL
CUAAUACUCACUUCAUCUGAAAAUACUUGUCGGAAAAAUUGAUGUAUCUAAAACUAUUUUAAUUGUAGAUACAUCCAUUUUUAUCCAUUUCUCCGACAAGUACUUUCGGACAGCGGGACUAUAUG